AUUGAACGCUGGCGGCAUGCCUUACACAUGCAAGUCGAACGGCAGCACGGGAGCAAUCCUGGUGGCGAGUGGCGAACGGGUGAGUAAUAUAUCGGAACGUGCCCGGUCGUGGGGGAUAACGUAGCGAAAGCUACGCUAAUACCGCAUACGAUCUACGGAUGAAAGCGGGGGGAUCGCAAGACCUCGCGCGAUUGGAGCGGCCGAUAUCAGAUUAGGUAGUUGGUGAGGUAAAGGCUCACCAAGCCGACGAUCUGUAGCUGGUCUGAGAGGACGACCAGCCACACUGGGACUGAGACACGGCCCAGACUCCUACGGGAGGCAGCAGUGGGGAAUUUUGGACAAUGGGCGCAAGCCUGAUCCAGCAAUGCCGCGUGCAGGAUGAAGGCCUUC
rnacentral:rRNA from 1 species